AUGCAGUGCCCUCGGACUGUGACCCCGUGGUCCAGGGGGUGCGGAGGCAGCCCUCCUGCUCCACCAGCCAAAGGGGUUUUCAGUGAGUGCCCUGCACGGAAGAGUUGGGCUCCCAGGCCCCUCCAGCUUCCCUCAGCUCAGGCUCCCCGUGGCGCCAUGGAGCUGUCUCUGGGGCGCGGGUCAUGCUCCCUCUCCAGCCCAGACAGUCUGCGCUUCGGCCCCUGGCUGGUGCAGGCCCAGCUCAAGCCAGGUCAGCGUCACCCCUCUGGCCUGCUCCCUGAAGGGGCUUUGAAGCCCGUGGGGGGCAUCCAGCUGUGCCUGUCCUCACUCGGAGCCGUGGGCUCCCAGGCCCGUGUGCUUAGUCGUUGCUCUUUUUCGAGCCCAUAUUGGAUUUGUUUUAUGCCUCGGUGGCAGGAGCCACUGUCACGAGAGCCACCUGGGCACCUGUCGGAAGGUUCCAGAGACAAGGAAGUAGCAUCUGGCGGUGGCAGCAGCAAGAGCGCCGGGGGCUCCGGUGGCGCCUUCAUCUUCCCGGUGGCCUGGCCGCUCUGCACGUUCGUCUCCAACAACAGGGCCCCUUGGCGCUCCCCUGGCCCCCACGUUCCCGCGGCACAAGACGUGGCCUUGACUCUUUCUGCCAGUUUCCUUCCACCCGUGCGGCUGGUCCAAUGCGCAGAGUCGAUAUUAACGAUCGCAGGACGGCCUCUCGGCCAAGGAGGCUGGGGACAGAGCGAGCCGCCAGGGUCCUUCCAGCUGGUUCAGGAGGCCGUUCAACACACAGGACUUCAAAGUCUGGGGCCGGGCGGCUUCAGAGAAGAGGGCAGCUCACACGGGCGUGGCGGCUCCCCCUGGAGGUGCGUGUUAGGACCCGGGCGGGGGCAGGACACCACGGCGGUCCCAGCUUUGCAUCUCCCGUUACCGUGGCAACGUUCUCCUGUCUGGGCCUUUCUGUCCCCAUCACAGACACAGGCUGUGGGGCCAGGUGGCUUUGAAGGUGCUGUUCAACUUUACGUUCCUCUGUCAAACACUGUCCCCACUUCACACUUUAAACAUCUGCGUUUGAAGACAUGGUUUAUUACAGAGAGCGUGUGGCUUGGGUCUGGGGACUGUUGCUUGUGA
rnacentral:lncRNA from 1 species